GGUUCGAUGGCGUAGUUGGUUAUCGCAUCUGUCUAACAUUGUGUGUAAAGUGUUCAGUUACACAGAAGGUCCUCAGUUCGAGCCUGGGUCGAAUCA